UGACUCUACAUUGUCCUCAUUGUACAUGCUGUGUGUAUCUAUUUCUCUUACACAGCGCAUGCAAUGUGGAUAUAUUGGAUGUC
ensembl:miRNA xtr-mir-460b xtr-mir-460b